rnacentral:rRNA from 1 species
CACCAGGUUGAUUCUGCCUGACGUGGACGCUAGUCUCACAGAUUUAGCCAUGCAUGUGUAAGCGAAGCUUUUAGUGGAGCGGUGAAAGGCUCAGUAACGGGCGAUUUAUUUGUUCUUCUGUGACGGACAACAUCGGGAAACUGAUGGGAAAACGUCUAAGUUGCAGUUAAUUGAUUGUGACGUAAACGAUUUUGUGCAGGAGAGUAAGAUGCCAUCCUAUCAGUUAGUAAGUAGGGUAAGGGCCUACUUAGACGAAGACGGGUACGGGGAAUGAGGGUUUGAUUCCGGAGAGGGAGCCUGAGAGAUGGCUACCAGGACCAAGGUCAGCAGCAGGCGCGAAAAUUAUCGAAGCCCGCCUAGGGGCGAUAGUAAGGAGACGUGUAUAACGAAGUACGUGUAAAGAACGUGCUAAUAACUGGAGGUCAAGUCUGGUGCCAGCAUCCGCGGUAAUUCCAGCUCCAGGGGUGUCUAUGAUGAUUGCUGCGAUUAAAAAGUCCGUAGUCAAUCUGACUGACUGACCUGCAAUGUGAUUGAUUAAAGAACGAGCAGGGUUAGGAAAGCAGAGAAUUAGGAGCGACCGAGGGCUAGAGUAUUGAAUGGCGAGAGGUGAAAUUUGAUGACCCAUUCAGGAGUGACAAAGGCGAAGGCACUAGUCAAGGGCGAAUCCGAUGAUCAAGGACGUAGGCUAGAGUUUCGAAAACGAUUAGAGACCGGAGUAGUUCUAGCAGUAAACUAUGCCGACGCCGUGGUAUUAUUUUAGUAUUGCGGAAGAGAAAUCAAGUAAGGCUUUGGGGAGAGUACGCGCGCAAGCGAUAAAUUUAAAGGAAAUU